rnacentral:misc_RNA from 1 species
AGAGAGAGAGAGAGAGAGUGAGCAAGAUGAGAGACAUAUCUGUUGUGAUUCAAGAGAGCCGGAUGCUGUGAGUGAGAGAGCUUCUGUUUUUGGUAGUGUGACAAAAUGGGUCUGUUCUUUAGGGUUCAUUUUUUUUUGUGUAAAAACAAUUAAAAAAGAAAGCAAGAAAAAAAAAAAGAGCUUAUCCCUACCUUCUAUAAGGCGUUGCCUCAUCAACUGUACCUUAUUGAAGCAAGGUUAGGCGGAGCCAAGUGAGGCGCUAGAAGGUCGUCUCGCCUCGACACCUUUCUCGCCUUUAACAACAUUGCUAAAAUCACUAAUACAAAUUUUUGUAAUGCACACUUGGAGGUCACGGGUUCAAGCCAUGGAAACAACCUCUCUGUAGAGCAGGGAUACGGCUAUGUGUAUCAACUCUCCCCAGAGUUCACAAGUGUGGGAUACUUCAUGAACCCUUUAUGCCUUCUCUGGCUAGGCUAAGUUGAAUGCUUUUUUAUGUUCUCUAAAGCCACAUAAAUGUCUAUUGAAAACUUUAGUUAACAAAAUGAGUUGUAUGCCAUAUUUGGCUAUAAGAGAAAUCUUGAAGAGUAUUGUUCUUUUUACUUUGGAAAGGCCAAUGUUCAGGAAGAAACAUAUAUAGUUUGAAAGGACAUGUCAACUUGUCUUGCCCAUGUGUGUUAAUCACUCAAGAUUUAUUUGCCCUUAAAUUAAUUUUGACAACAAUACUUUAAAUUUAUGAGCUUAUGUGUAUUAAUCUUUUAUUAGUUUUAAAUCAAUUCAACCUGGUCAGUUGUAGUGUGCUGAGCACACUGACUCUUUACAUUCAUAGGCUUGCCAUACUGCAAAACAUGAACAAUAUGACAAAUGUCGCAGAUCUGUGGCUAACAUUUAAUGCCCACCUUUUCAUAUCUCGAAUUCCAACAUUUAAUGCCCACCUUUUCAUAUCUCGAAUUCCAAUUACACUUGUGUGCUUUGCAUGCCUGAUGAGGUGCAGUACAGGGAUUCCUCCUUGAACCCUAGGCCAUCCUAAGGCAAUGCUGGUUAUUUCUUGAUGUAGGCACACAUGUUGUUUGUAUAUCUAUUGUGCUGUCAGAUGUGUUGGGAAGUUAUGGAAACGCACAGACAAAUGGGCCAAGAUUUUUUUGGUUGCUUUGAAGUAAGCAAAUGCACUUAAAUUUAAUUUCAUUCACUAUUUUUCAGGUAAAGUGUGCUCAAAUCCUUC